rnacentral:lncRNA from 1 species
UCCAUUUCCCUUGGGUCACAAGAGUUCCCUUGGGUCACAAGAGUUCCCGUGGGUCUUUAAAUAAACUUACACGAUUGAUGGUAUUUUCGUGUUUACCAUCAACAUAUAGAAUUAGUAGUUGAGUUCUAAUCAAGUGACACAACUUUCUUUUGUACUCUAGAUCUCUCUAUAUUUUGAGACAUUGAUAGCUCAGAAUUACAGUGUUUGAACUAAGAAGUAUACAGAUUUGGAAUACACUUUUUGUAUUGCAUUGUCUUCUUCUUGAGAGAGCAGCCUUUUUAUACAAGAGAAAAGAGCCGUUGAAUCCUUUUUGAAAUGGGAGGCUCAAGAUCUUUAAUUAAGGGAUUUGAUCCAAGAGAUGCCUCUUUGAAUCUUGCUCUUUGACUGGUCCAAAUUUGAAUGUGACCUUCCUUGUCACAGCUGAAUUCAAGAAGUGAUUAAUUCGUGAGUGUAUUCUUCGAAAUUGGAAUGAUCAAGAUUGGUAAUCUGAGUUCCCUUGAUUGAGUCAAUCUGCUUCUUGAUUGAUCAUUAAUAUUUGUAACUGAAUCUUCAUUGAAUCCCUGAUUAGGGACGAGUCAAUCUGCCUCUUAAUUGAUCAUUAAUGCAGUAACUAAUUUUUCCUUCUUCCUUUAUUUUGAGCCCAGUAGCAAUCUUGCUAAUCAUCUUCAUUCUUUCCUUUUUGUUUGCCCUGAAAAUAUAACAUAGGAUAAUAUUUUCAUCAUUAAAACAUAAAUUUAAAACCUAUCAAUCUCCCUCUUUUUGAUGAUGACAAUCAAGAAGGAGUAGACAAGUUUAAAGAAACGUAAGAUACUUCCCUUUUCAGUUUUAGGAGUUGCUCCCGCUGAGCUAGUACUUCCCUUGAAUUGAAUUGUUCGUAUGUUUGGAAAGUUUUGCUCAUGUCACCCACUGAGUG